rnacentral:rRNA from 1 species
AGAGUUUGAUCCUGGCUCAGAACGAACGCUGGCGGCGUGCCUAACACAUGCAAGUCGAACGAGAAACUCCGGGCUUGCUCGGAGAAGUACAGUGGCGCACGGGUGAGUAACGCGUGGGUAACCUACCCUUGAAUUUGGGAUAACCCCGCGAAAGCGGGACUAAUACCGGAUACGGUUCUUUAAGCCUCGGCUUUUGGAAUUAAAGGUGACCUCUUCAUGAAAGUUGCCGUUCAGGGACGGGCUCGCGUACCAUUAGCUUGUUGGUAGGGUAAUGGCCUACCAAGGCUACGAUGGUUAGCUGGUCUGAGAGGAUGAUCAGCCACACUGGAACUGGAACACGGUCCAGACUCCUACGGGAGGCAGCAGUGAGGAAUUUUGCGCAAUGGGGGAAACCCUGACGCAGCAACGCCGCGUGAGCGAAGAAGGCCCUCGGGUCGUAAAGCUCUGUCAAGUGGGAAAAAAGCCUUUCGGUUAAUACCCGGGAGGUCUGAUGGUACCACUGGAGGAAGCACCGGCUAACUCCGUGCCAGCAGCCGCGGUAAUACGGAGGGUGCAAGCGUUGUUCGGAUUUACUGGGCGUAAAGGGCGUGCAGGCGGUUUGGUAAGUCAGAUGUGAAAGCCCUGGGCUUAACCCGGGAAGUGCAUUUGAAACUGCCUUUCUUGAGUAUGGGAGAGGAGAGUGGAAUUCCCAGUGUAGAGGUGAAAUUCGUAGAUAUUGGGAGGAACACCCGUGGCGAAGGCGACUCUCUGGACCAAUACUGACGCUGAGACGCGAAAGCGUGGGGAGCAAACAGGAUUAGAUACCCUGGUAGUC